GUCCUGAUAGUAUAAAAAUUACUUUGGUCUUGUAAAUCAAAAAUGAAGAAUCAAUUAUCUUCUCAGGACA
rnacentral:tRNA from 1 species